rnacentral:rRNA from 1 species
GACGAACGCUGGCGGCGUGCCUAAUACAUGCAAGUCGAACGAACCGCGACUAGGUGCUUGCACUUGGUCAAGGUGAGUGGCGAACGGGUGAGUAACACGUGGGUAACCUACCUCAUAGUGGGGGAUAACAGUCGGAAACGACUGCUAAUACCGCAUAGGACAUAGGAUCACAUGAUCCAGUGAGGAAAGGUGGCGCAAGCUAUCGCUAAGAGAUGGACCCGCGGUGCAUUAGCUAGUUGGUAGGGUAAAGGCCUACCAAGGCGAUGAUGCAUAGCCGACCUGAGAGGGUGAUCGGCAACAUUGGGACUGAGACACGGCCCAAACUCCUACGGGAGGCAGCAGUAGGGAAUCUUCCGCAAUGGACGCAAGUCUGACGGAGCAACGCCGCGUGAGUGAAGAAGGUCUUCGGAUCGUAAAGCUCUGUUGUUAGAGAAGAACAGCGCAUAGAGUAACUGUUAUGCGUGUGACGGUAUCUAACCAGAAAGCCACGGCUAACUACGUG